rnacentral:rRNA from 1 species
UACGUAGGGGGCAAGCGUUGUCCGGAAUCAUUGGGCGUAAAGAGCGUGUAGGCGGCUCGGUAAGUCCGCUCUGAAAGCCCGGGGCUCAACCCCGGGAGGCGGGCGGAUACUGUCGAGCUAGAGUCCGGAAGAGGCGAGUGGAAUUCCUGGUGUAGCGGUGAAAUGCGCAGAUAUCAGGAGGAACACCUGUGGCGAAAGCGGCGCACUGGACCACAACUGACGCUGAGGCGCGAAAGCUAGGGGAGCAAACAGG